UACGUAGGGUGCAAGCGUUUGUCCGGAAUUAUUGGGCGUAAAGAGCUCGUAGGCGGUUUGUCGCGUCUGCUGUGAAAACUCGGGGGCUUAACCCCCGGGCCUGCAGUGGGUACGGGCAGACUAGAGUGCGGUAGGGGGAGACUGGAAUUCCUGGUGUAGCGGUGAAAUGCGCAGAUAUCAGGAGGAACACCGAUGGCGAAGGCAGGUCUCUGAGCAUUAACUGACGCUGAGGAGCGAAAGCAUGGGGGAGCGAACAGG
rnacentral:rRNA from 1 species